rnacentral:rRNA from 1 species
AGUGGAUGGGGAGCAACCUAGUUGUGCGUGUGUAAAGGUAGUGCCAAGAAAAGCGAUGAUCAUGUUGAAAAUCAAUUCCCGGUACCCGAAACCGACACAGGUGGGCAAGUAGAGAAUACUAAGGGGCGCGAGGUAACUCUCUCCAAGGAACUCGGCGAAAUGACCCCGUAACUUAGGGAGAAGGGGUGCCACCGAGAGGUGGUCGCAGUGAAGAGGCCCAGGCGACUGUUUAGCAAAAACAUAGGUCUCUGCAAACUCGAAAGAGGAGGUAUAGGGGCUGACGCCUGCCCAGUGCCGGAAGGUUAAAGAAGUUGGUCAGUCUUAGGAUGAAGCUAGCGACUGAAGCCCCGGUGAACGGCGGCCGUAACUAUAACGGUCCUAAGGUAGCGAAAUUCCUUGUCGGGUAAGUUCCGACCCGCACGAAAGGCGUAACGAUCUGGGCGCUGUCUCGGAGAGAGGCUCGGCGAAAUAGGAUUGUCUGUGAAGAUACGGACUACCUGCAUUUGGACAGAAAGACCCUAUGAAGCUUUACUAUAGCUUGGAAUUGUGAUCGGGCUUCCUGUGCGCAGGAUAGGUGGGAGGCGUAGAAGGUAUUCUUGUGGGGAUACUGGAGCCAACGGUGAGAUACCACUCUCAGGAGGCUAGAAUUCUAACUUAAUUAAGGACAGUUUCAGGUGGGUAGUUUGACUGGGGCGGUCGCCUCCAAAAAGGUAACGGAGGCGUACAAAGGUUCCCUCAGACUGGUUGGAAAUCAGUCGAAGAGUGCAAAGGCAGAAGGGAGCUUGACUGCGAGAAGUACUGUUCGAGCAGGGUGGAAACACGGUCUUAGUGAUCCGACGGUGCUGUGUGGAAGGGCCGUCGUUCAACGGAUAAAAGUUACUCUAGGAUAACAGGCUGAUCUCCCCCAAGAGUUCACAUCGACGGGGAGGUUUGGCACCUCGAUGUCGGCUCAUCGCAACCUGGGGCGGAAGUACGUCCCAAGGGUUGGGCUGUUCGCCCAUUAAAGCGGUACGUGAGCUGGGUUCAGAACGUCGUGAGACAGUUCGGUCCAUAUCCGAUGUAGGCGUGAGAAUAUUGAGAGGAGCCUUCCUUAGUACGAGAGGACCGGGAAGGACGCACCGCUGGUGUACCUGUUAUGAUGCCAAUUGUAAACGCAGGGUAGCCAAGUGCGGAGAGGAUAACCGCUGAAAGCAUCUAAGUGGGAAGCCCACCUCAAGAUGAGUAUUCUGGUGUAAGGUCACGGGAAGACGACCCGUAAAUAGGCACGAGGUGGAAGUGCAGAGAUGUAUGAAGCCGAAGUGUACUAAUAGACCGUCGGCUUGAUC